GAACCUGCGGAGGGAUCAUUACUGAGUUACCGCUCUACAACCCUUUGUGAACAUACCUAACCGUUGCUUCGGCGGGCAGGGGAAGCCUCUCGCGGGCCUCCCCUCCCGGCGCCGGCCCCACCACGGGGACGGGGCGCCCGCCGGAGGAAACCAAACUCUAUUUACACGACGUCUCUUCUGAGUGGCACAAGCAAAUAAUUAAAACUUUUAACAACGGAUCUCUUGGUUCUGGCAUCGAUGAAGAACGCAGCGAAAUGCGAUAAGUAAUGUGAAUUGCAGAAUUCAGUGAAUCAUCGAAUCUUUGAACGCACAUUGCGCUCGCCAGCAUUCUGGCGAGCAUGCCUGUUCGAGCGUCAUUUCAACCCUCAAGCACCGCUUGGUUUUGGGGCCCCACGGCAGACGUGGGCCCUUAAAGGUAGUGGCGGACCCUCCCGGAGCCUCCUUUGCGUAGUAACUAACGUCUCGCACUGGGAUCCGGAGGGACUCUUGCCGUAAAACCCCCAAAUUCUUUACAGGUUGACCUCGGAUCAGGUAGGAAUACCCGCUGAACUUAAGCAUAUCAAUAAGCGGAGGA
rnacentral:rRNA from 1 species